UAAAUUUUCCUAGAAAAAAAUGUAAUAGCCAGGAUUAUAGGCUCCUGAUUUUCCCUUAGCAUUUAAGGACAAAUCUAAAAUACAGUUAAACUUUGCCUUUGAUUAUGACAGGUUUGAGUAAAAAAAGUUCUGUAUUACCUUUCCAGCCCAGUAACUUUUAGGAAGCAUUACACUGUGGCAGUCUACUACAGUAGAGUAAAAUACCAUUUAUUAGCACCUCCAAGCCAGGACCUAGAGCCCUGCCAUUACAUAUAUACUUGAACUAUUUCAAGCAUAAAGUCAGUAAACACUAAUCCCUGUUAAUAGUUUAUAGCAUACCAAGAAUUUAAUUAAUCUUUAAAACUACCCUUGUAUAAUUAACCGUUUCAACAGCAUCACCACUUGGGGUUCUACUUUUUUAAGUCUUAAGUCAUGCACUUUUGAGUUUGUACCUUUUAAACAUGCCAUUAUUGGUAUCCACAUUACUCCUAAGAGCACUACUAAAUAAAGCAUGGCUACUCCCUCCCCACUAAGAUAGCACUGCUUAUUCUACAGGAUCGUUAUCCUGAGUACAUACUUCUGUUGAGGUUUAAAAUUAAUUUUCUAAGUUGCCCAAGUAUGAAACCACUGUUUUACUUUCAGAUUUCUUUUCCAUAAUCCAGUUUUUAGUCUUCAAUCAGAAUGGACAUACAGAUUUAUAGGUGGUCUUUAAUGCUCUGAUAGGAGUAUUUGAAACAUGAAUUAUAUUCUUUGAACUGUUUUGUACUGAUGGGAUGGGUUA
rnacentral:lncRNA from 1 species